UCGGCGCGGCCCUGGAGGGCGGCGUGCUGCAGGAGCCGGGGGAGUGCCUGGAGCAGGCUCCCGCCGGGGCUCCACAUGCCUCGGCCGGCGCGGGCCCUCAGCCGGCCAGCCCCCCCGCCGCGGCGCCUGUCAGGCGGCGGCCCUUCAUGGCGCCCCUCACGCCCUGCCUCGACUCCCUGCGUCCGCUCAGGGGGCAGGAGACGGCCCGGGGUGAGGGUACAAGUAGGAUUGCAUUUCCUGGCUUCCUUGUAGCUGGGAUGAGCCACGUGACACACUCUGUCAUGAAUUGUGAGCCUAGCAUCUAAUUGCUGAUGCAAGACCUUCCGGAACUCUUUUUCCCUUUGCCAUGGCAAUCAACAAUGUUCCAGAGAGUAUAUGCUCUGUAAGUCUUGGUCUUGGAGAGAGGAUGAUGCAAAAAGAGUCCCAUUCACCUCAUGAUGGGUAUUUAAAGUAUCAACUUCCAUUCUCCAAAUGGUAUCCAUUCUACAAAUGGAAAUAGGAGAAUGCAGUGUGGUCUCUGUCGCUCAUGCUCAGUGAACACAGCUGAGUCCAAAGUUGUCUUUCCGGGAUUAGAUGGCGAAGGUGGAGUAUCCCUUGUGAGGAAUUCCUACUAAGGAAUCUCUGCCUAGGCAGCUUGCGGGGCAAGAGUAGGUGCUGAGUUGCUCUCCUCACCAGUGCACGAGGCAUGCAGAUGCUGCCACGGAGUCUCAGCUCUAUGCAAGACCAGCCCUGAUCAUGCCUUAAAACAGUUUGAAUCAAGCUGGCAUUUUCCCCCGCAAAAGUUCAGCAAGCAUUAGAAUAUACCAGUCAGAACACAGAAGAGAAAUACAACCUGGAGACGCAAAAUUCAGAAGGCACCAGCAUUUUAAUGAACUAACACAGGACCAGCCUUCUUCACACCUCACAUCACAGAUGAGCAACCUGCUACAGUGGACCACAACAAAUUCCUGAAGGAGGAAAUGAGCAAUUAUCUAUAUCCAUGAAAGGCACGUUGAGAGAACAUAUUCAUGGGGACAAACUUAGGAUAAAUGCAAAGUAUUUCUUGCCUAUGGAAAUUGUCAGAGAUUAGAAUGCCAGGGGAUUGUGUGGGAUCUUCCCCUUGAGUAAUAAAGAGGAGACAGAAGACAG